rnacentral:rRNA from 1 species
GUAGGAGGCGAGCGUUAUCCGGAUUUACUGGGGGGCGUAAAGCGCGUGUAGGGCGGGUUUCUUAAGUCGGGACGUGAAAGCUCUCGGCUCAACUGGGAGAGGUCGUUCGAAACUAGGGAACUUGAGGGUGGUAGAGGAGAGUGGAAUUCCCGGUGUAGUGGUGAAAUGCGUAGAUAUCGGGAGGAACACCAGUGGCGAAGGCGGCUCUCUGGGCCACUCCUGACGCUAAGACGCGAAAGCUAGGGGAGAGAACGGGAUUAGAAACCCCGGUAUUCCUAGCUGUAAACGAUGUCAACUAGGUGUAGGGGGUAUCCAACCCCCCUGUGCUGUAGCUAACGCAUUAAGUUGACCGCCUGGGGACUACGGCCGCAAGGCUA